UCCCAGCGAGGUCACCCACCUCUGCACCACCAUACAAAGCUCCAGUUCCAGCACCACCACCCAAGGGUCCCACUCCUCAGUAUAAGCCCCCAAGUUCUUCUGCACCACCACCCAAGGGUCCCACUCCUCUGUAUAAGCCCCCAAGUUCUCUUGCUCCACCACCUAAGGCAGCCACUCCCCCUUAUAAACCCCCAGCUCCUGCACCAUCCGAGGCUCCUACUUCACCAAAUAAGCCACCAAAAACUGCAGCACCACC
rnacentral:lncRNA from 1 species